GGAAACCGAUGCUAAUACCGGAUGAGCCGCGAGGUAAAACAUUUAUGGCCUAUGGAGGAGCUCGCGACUGAUUAGCUAGUUGGUGGGGUAAGAGCUUACCAAGGCGACGAUCAGUAGCUGGUCUGAGAGGAUGAUCAGCCACACUGGGACUGAGACACGGCCCAGACUCCUACGGGAGGCAGCAGUGGGGAAUUUUCCGCAAUGGGGGCAACCCUGACGGAGCAACGCCGCGUGAGGGAAGAAUGGUUGUGGCCAGUAAACCUCUUUUAAUAGGGAAGAAUUCUGACGGUACCUAUUGAAUAAGCAUCGGCUAACUCCGUGCCAGCAGCCGCGGUAAUACGGAGGAUGCAAGCGUUAUCCGGAAUUAUUGGGCGUAAAGCGUCCGCAGGUGGUUAGUCAAGUCAGCUGUAAAGGACUCAGGCUCAACUUGGGAUGUGCAGUUGAAACUGAUUGACUAGAGUACGGUAGGGGUAGAGGGAAUUCCUAGUGUAGCGGUGAAAUGCGUAGAUAUUAGGAAGAACACCAGUGGCGAAGGCGCUCUACUGGGCCUGUACUGACACUGAGGGACGAAAGCUAGGGGAGCGAAAGGGAUUAGAUACCC
rnacentral:rRNA from 1 species